GGCUCGCCUCCGAUUUCGCUGAUCGGCGUACUACGUGAGUGAUGUGUUUUUUAUUAAAUAAUUUGUAUAAAUAUUUAAAAAUUGUUAGAAGGCGAUGUGAUGAUGUGGAUCUGAUCCGUAAGCUUGUAAUAUCUUAAUCAAUAGGAUUGUAUAAUUAGAUCAAUACUUUAUCCGAAUUAUUAAUGUAAUGGAAUGCAUAUGUGGCAUUUUUCUAUUAGGAGUUGGAUAAAUAAUUGAUUAAGCUGGGGUCGAAGUGAUUUAAUUGGCGCUUUUGGUUUAACUUUAGAAAAUUGAUAUUUUAUCAAAUUUUCAAUUACAUAUUUAUUAAUUUUUAUUAAAAAUUAAUUUUUAAUAAAAUUGAACACGGUCUAGAUGCCAUCAUAUUUCUGAAAAAUAAAUUUUUUGAAGAAUACGUAACGCUAUAAGUGCUUUGCAUCAAUUCUUGCACUACCUAAAUUGAUAUUAAACACUUGAGUCCAUAUAGCAGUAUGGGCUUGUACUAGGGUCUGUUUGGUAGAAAUUUUGAGAAUUGAUUUUUUGAUCGUUAAGAAAAAAGUGGGGAUUAUUUGUGAUAGAAGAAGUCAAAAAUUAUAGUUGGAAUAAUGAAAUAACGAUAAAAAAAUCAAAUUUUUUUGAAUGAAAAAUCACUCCCUAACAGGGCCCUAAGCACCCGUUGUAGUGCAUGUUAUUACUAAAUUGAUAGAGAUGUUUUCACCCGUACUAACAAGUUCAAGUGGCCAUCUUUUUAUGACAAAUAUAAAUUCUUAUAGAAGAUAAUAAUAUAAAAUAAAUUUAUUAUUUGUCCAACAAUUAGACGUGCAGACGCUCAAGGCUUCAAAAUCCAUUUACAAAAUUGAAUGUGAUAGUAUUGAAAAGUGUGAAAAUACAAAUAUAAAGAAAUUAUCAUUAUUUGAUUGUAAUUGAUUGAUUAAGGGGGAAAUUCUUUUAAUGAAAGUGAUUUGAAAGUAAAUUAGUAAUUAGGGAAGUAAAGAGGUUCAUGGAGUCGCUCAACCUAAUAAAAUAGAAAAAAAUUGCUUCGGGGUCCUUAUCAUUUGAGUUCUCAACGAUUACUUGACAUUUAUGGUUGGAAACUUUUAAGUUUGGAAUACCCUAGAUCAUAAUAGAUGGCUUCUGUUGAUCUUGCAGUGAAAAACACAUGACUCUAACUUUUUGAAGUUAAUAUUGGCAAAUCAUUGAUUUUAAUUAUAAAAAAAGAAAGAAAAAAAGGUUGUAUACUUCGGCUUCUAAUAGAAAUAUGGAUAAAAAAUUAAAAAAUUCAUUGACCACCCAAAUCAUGUGCCUCUUGAAUCAGUGAAUAACUGAAUCCUAGGACCUUCUUCAACAUCUGAAUGUGAUAAGUCGUCGUCGUGUGCCAAAUGAGUUAUUACAACCUUAAGAAGUUUUUUGAAAUAAAGUAUUCCAACUGUUACGCCCCCAUCUGAAACACUUCGGAAAGUUUACCACCGCGUCUUACAAGGUGUGCAACACCCAUCCGAAGUGGUUCCGAAGUGGGGAUCAUCAUCUGCUAACACACUGCAAGACACAGACAAUCUACUGAACUGGUCGAGCCUCCCUCGCCCCUGAAAUCGAAGUUCUCUGCUAAAGGAUCUGCUGCCAAUUUGAGAAAGAGAUCUAAGUCAAGAUCAUUUUUGCCCCCAAGAUUCAAUUGAUUUGACGUCUCUAUGAGCCUAGUCGAUGUGACGUAUCAACUUUAUGUCAACUCAACUUGGGAGAAGUAAUUACCCGCCCACUCUAUAGACGCGGCCGAUUGACGCCUAUGAGCAGACGUCUCACACCGUCAUAUGCGUACACGUGUCCCACAUCCAACGGUUCUUAUCAUCUAUAAAUACCCAGGGUUUAACAAGAGGUAAAGGUAAUGAAACUCUUACAACAUAACUUUCCAUAACAAGCAAAUACAUAUUCUCUUCCCCUCUACUUUGCACAACCUUGGUAUUGUUCCGACCACCUGAGACUAACUUAACCGUCGGAGUGUAUACGGUCGCCACCACCCCCGUUGGUUCUAGCCGUGUGCAUCUGACCGUGCGUUGACUGUGCGCCGGGAGGAAUACGUGGAUUAGCUAUCGGUUGGCCAUGUAGAGGGUCCAAUUUGCGAGGUCAACAUAUUGGCAUCAUCUGUGGGAAACUUUCCAUUCAAAGUUCUGCAUUUUCCACCGGAGAAACCACCCAAAAACCAGUGACUUACCCUGAAAAGGGCACGUUCUUGAAGAAGAACAAAUUCGAGUUAUAAUCCAAAUUCUUAUCACCCUUGAAAAAGGACAUAAGAUGAGUUACAGCCAUGAAGACGAAAAUCCUAUGAGAGAGGCCUCUGAAGAAGAUGUGCUCUGUAACAAUGUCACUCACCAGAGACCCCAUCACCACCGUCACCGAGGUGAAAGGACAGCCAUGCUCACUGAAGGAAUGGCUCAAAUAGCUGCAGGCAUGAGAGACAUCGCAGCCCAGAAUACGGCAAUACAUGAACUUCUCAUGCAAGCCCGAGGUCACCAGGGCUCUCAAAUGCCCCAAGGAUCUUAUCCAAUUCAGGAAACCCCAGCAUCUUGUUCUCAAGGCCAUGUGAGCCAGCACAGAGAGCGCCCCCUCGAAAGAGAAGUGGGUGCUGAAGCCACAUCCUGUUUGCAAGGGAGCCACCACAAUUGGGGGAUAAUUUCCCUCAAGAAUAUGAAGCACAAAAGUCAGUCAGCAUCUUCGAUCGAAUAGGGCAGGACCCUAGUAAUAGGGUCCACUCAGUAUGAAGAUCAGUUCGGCAAGAACAGGAGCAAGAUCAAGCACCUCCUCCUCUUAGAAAUGGGAAGGAGAGAAGGAACUUAGUUGAUUGGGGGAGUCGAGGAGAAGCACCUCCACCUCCCCAGAACAUUCAAGAUGAUGAAGGGUUAGAUAAACCUUAUCGAUCCUUUGAAAUUGACGAUGAUGAUGAUAACCUUCCUUUCUCAAAGAAAAUUCGAAGUUUUCCAAUGCAUGCGAAUUUCAUGCCCCCUAAGAUCCCUAAGUAUAAAGGAAAGGGGGACCCGGAGAAGCACCCCACCAAGUACAUGACACAGAUGAGCCUAAGGAGAGCCUCGCCUUCUUUGAAGUGCCGAGCCUUCUACUUAACCUUGAGCGGAGCUGCUGACGUGUGGUACAACAGACUUUCUCCCCUGAGCAUUAGGAGUUGGCCGGAUUUAAAGAAUGCGUUCUUGAACCAAUACCUCUCACGCAGAGAAGGAGAGGCCCUAGUGCAAUGCCUGCAAGAUAUGAAGCAGGCCCCUAGAGAGACGCUAAGAAGCUAUCUCGCUAGGUUUACCGACGAAAUCACGUAUUACGAGCAGGUCACUGAUAGAGAAGCCUUUUCAGCCUUUAAAGGCAGCUUCAACAUGAACACUUUGUUCUGGAGGGAUGUGCGCAACAAAAAUCCCACCACUUAUGACGAGCUGGAAGAAAUGAUGAGAGUUGAGAUCGUCAGCGGAGAGAUCAUUGAUCACAGAAAUCGUGUAGCGCAGGGACUCCCUUCGCCUCAGAGGCACGUAGGUCGAGGAUCGCAGCACACCUUAUCACUCAGCAAUGGACUCAAGCAGGUCAUACAAUAGCUCCCACCUCCGGACAGGCACUGGCUUCAGCCACGCUAAAUGCAGUCCCGGUGUUGGCAUACGAGAAUUUCCCUGGCAAAACAGGGCCAUCUGGAGGAACCGAUAAUAGUAAGAAGAAGAAAAAGAAGCGAUCAAACAGGCCCUUGGAAGGAGCAAUUUUUUGCACUUUCUACCAACUCUAUGGGCAUGACACCAGCGAGUGUAGAGAUGCUAAUCGACUCCCGGAUCAAAGUAACCCACAUCCCUCUAGGAGGAACGAAUAUCCUCGCAGAUCCGCCUCCCCGAACAGGGGAGAGAGAAGGCAUAGAGAAUAGUCACCCUAGAGAAGAGAAUCAAGAGAUCGAGGACAGUCCAGACAGAGAGAUCAGGCCCCAUUUUCUGGGAGCCAAGUCAUCAGGAAGAUCGACACGAUCAUUGGGGAACCUCACAUCGGUGGCAACACCAGGAACGUCCAAAGGAAUUACACAAGGGAAGCAAAGGACCCGCCAAUACUUACCUACAUUAUAAAUGAGUCCCAAGUGGCCAAUAGGAUGGCCCCAAUCACCUUCUUCCAGGAAGAUGUAGAAGGAGUUCACCACCCCCAUUGUGACGCAUUGGUUGUGAGAGCCGUAGUGGCAAGAAAUGGGCUCAAACGCAUGCUUGUCGACAAUGGCAGUUCGGUGAAUAUACUAUUCGGCUCUACCUUCGACAGAAUGCAAAUUGAACAUGGGUUGAUCCCCAUGACCGAUCCACUGUUCAGAUUUACUGGAGACAGCAUCGUCCUACAAGGGCGGAUAACUCUGCUCGUUGAGAUGGAUUCAGCUCCUCUAGUGGCCCAACAGUUCAUUGAAUUCUUGGUGGUCGACCAUAGAUCGGCCUACCAUGGAGUAUUGGGAAGACCGGCCUUAAAAGAUCUUUGGGCUGUCACCUUCAUUCAUUACUUGAGUAUGAAAUUCCCGACUAAACAUGGGAUUGCCACGGUACGAGGCGACCAGAUGGGCUGCAGGGCUUGUUACUUAAACUCUUUACGAAAAUCGGAGCCCCGAACUGUUAAUGUGAUCAUAACUGAAGUUGCCAGCGAACCCAAUUUGGACGUGAAAAUGAUCGACGCCCCUGAACAAGGGCAUACUUCCGAACAGGGGGAAGACGUCGACAUGGAAGAAGCCCCUGAGAAAGGGCACCCUCUUGAUGAAUUAGAUCCUCGGAUCAUCGACUCCGAGCCAAAUACAACCCCAGUGGAAGAACUUGAGACUUUCAUCGCCAACCCAGAGGACCCCAAUCAGGUCCUGCGAAUAGAAAAUGCACUGUCCCCCGAAGCACAAGAAGAAAUGGUGAGCUUCCUGAAAAGGAACUUGGAUGUCUUCGUUUGAAAGCAUGAAGACAUGGUGGGAAUAGAUCCAAGGAUCAGUUACCAUCAUCUUAACAUCAACUCCACCUGUGCCCCCCACAGAGGCAGAAAAUACGUGCCCUCAACCCGGAGCGGUAUGAGGCACUCAAAGACGAAGUAGACAAAUUUAGCUACAGCGGUUUCAUCAGAGAAGCUAUCUACCCAAAGUGGAUAUCCACCCCGAUCCUGGUAAAAAAGCCCAGCGAAAAGUGGAGGGUAUGCGUAGACUUCACAAACUUAAAUAAGGCAUGCCCCAAAGACAGCUUCCCAUUUCCAAGGAUAGACCAACUUGUGGAUUCCACCGCCGGACAUGAACUCUUGAGCUUCAUGGAUGUAUACUCAGAGUAUAACCAGAUACCCAUGUUCCGACCCGAUGAGGAGGCUACGUCAUUCAUCACAGAUAGGGGACUGUACUGCUAUAAAGUCAUGCCCUUCGAAUUGAAAAAUGUUGGAGCAACAUAUCAGAGGCUGGUAAACAUAAUGUUUGCCGAACUCAUUGACAAAACCAUGGAGGUCUACAUGGAUGACAUGCUAGUCAAAAGCCUUCAGGCCAACGAACACGUAAGUCACCUCGACCAAACCUUUUAGAUACUUAGAAAAUAUAAAAUGAAGUUGAACCCCCUCAAGUGCACCUUUGGAGUGGCUUCGGGUCAGUUCUUGGGAUACAUUGUAAACUAAAGAGGGAUCGAAGUAAACCCAGUAAAGAUAAUGGCCUUGCUUGAAAUGAGGUCACCUCAGAAACAAAAGGAGGUCCAAAGCCUCAAUGGUCGGAUAGCAGCACUGAAUCGUUUCAUCUCCAGAGCCACAGAUAAGAGCUUACCCUUUUUCAAUGUGCUAAAGUAAGGAAAGAAGUUUCAAUGGACUUUUGAGUGCAAAGAAGCCUUCCAAGCACUGAAGAAACACUUAGGAGAGGCACCUCUGUUGUCAAAACCUCAACUGGAAGAGCCACCACUAAUGUACUUGGCAGUUUCGGACGAGGUGAUCAGCGCUGUCGUAGUCAGAGAAGAAAAUGGGCACCAGUUACUGGUAUACUGAGCACUCCUCCCAGCUGAAACAUGCUACCCAGACAUGGAAAAAUUGGCACUCGCUUUUAUUACAGCCUCAAGAAAACUGAGACCAUACUUCCAGGCCCACUCAAUUGAAGUUCUCACCAACUUCUCAUUAAAGCAAGUGCUGCAAAGAACGGACGCAUCAGGACGCCUGCUAAAAUAGGCAAUCGAGCCUAAUGAGUUCGACAUACUGUUCCGACCUCGACAUGCCAUCAAGGGCCAGGCCAUUGCAGAUUUUGUGGCUGAGUUUGCCAAAGUCCAAGAAAUGGAGGCAACAAUGGAACCAGCUGAGCCCCCAAAGUGGAAACUGUUCGUUGAUGGAUCCUCAGGAGAGGCCGGCUCCGGGGCAAGGAUCGUCUUGAAAAGCCCCGAAGGCCACAAGCUAAAUUACGCAGUAAGGUUCGGCUUCAAAGCAUCGAACAACGUUGUCGAAUAUGAGGCCCUUCGGCAGGCCUUAGACUGGCAAGGGAAAUGUAGGCCAGAAGGCUUCCAGCAAGUAGCGAUUCUCAGCUGGUAGUGAGUCAGGUCAAUGGAAACUUCGCAGCUAAAGACAGUAGCAUGGUUGCAUACUUGAAAUUGGUUCUGGACCUAGUUCCCCAUUUUGAAAGGUUCGAGCCAAUUCAAGUCCCACGCCUAGAGAAUAGUCAUGCAAUUGCCCUGUCAAAACUGGCUAGCAGUAAGGAUUCAGAGCUACUAAAGAUUGUACCUAUUGAGCACUUAUCAAAGCCCUCUAUUUCCAGAGGUGAGGAGGUGCUAUGGAUAGAAGGCACCCCGGUAUGGAUGCAGCCCAUCAUCGCCUACCUUAAGGACCAAUCACUACCAGCUUCCAGAAGCGAGGCGAAGAAAUUAAAAAUGAGGGCUGCACACUUCGUCCUACAAGAUGUCCUUUACAAAAGAGGCAUCACCUCGCCACUUCUUCGAUGUGUAGGAGGCGAAGAAGCUAUGUAUAUACUCAGGAAAAUUCACGAGGGAAUUUGCGGGAAUCACUCCGGAGGAACGGCUCUGGUACACAAAGUGCUUCGACAAGGCUACUUUUGGCCGACCCUGAGAAGGGAUGCUUGCGAGUUUGUCCAGAAAUGUGAUAGGUGCCAACGGUUUUCAAAUAUUCAAAGGCAGCAUUCUCAGAGUCUCUCCGUAGUGACCAGCCAUUGGCCGUUCGCCAAAUGGGGCAUCGACUUCAUUGGCCCACUCCUAAAAGGAAGAGGAAGCGCGACUUUUGCCAUUGUCGCCAUCGACUAUUUCACCAAGUCGGUCCAAGCUGAACCUCUUGCCAAGAUUAACGAGGCAAAUAUAUAAAAUUCAUCUAGAAGAGCAUCAUUUGCAGAUUCAGCAUUUUCCGCUCCUUAGUAUCUAACAAUGGGAAACAGUUUGACAACAAGAAAAUGCGAAGCUAAUGUGACGAACUGGGCAUAAAGAAGGAUUUCUUAACGCCUCAUCACCCACAAGCAAAUGGGUAAGUUGAUGCUCUAAACAAAACAAUUAAGCAUACCCUGAAAAGGAAGCUUGACACCUCAAAAGGGGCUUGGGUUGAUGAGCUUCCCCACGUCCUCUGAGCCAUCAGGACAACUACCUAAACUGCAAUAGGGGAGACACCCUUCUCCAUGACCUACGGAGCCGAGGUCAUGAGCCGGUUGAGGUAGGGGUCCCAUCGCACCGUCGAAUACACUUCAAUGAGAUCAGUAACAACGACGCUCGAAUGAGCGAGCUCCACCUCCUUGAAGAAAUGAGGGAUACCUCCCAGGCGAACUUGGCGAAGUAUCAUAGAAAGAUGACCUGAUAUUAUAACUCCAAGGUCAGAAAUCGGACUCUUCGUCCGGGGGACCUCGUCCUUAGAAGGGUCUUCCAAUCAUCAAAGCCAACCGGGUUCUGAGUGUUGGGACCGAAUUGGGAGGGUCCUUACCGCAUACGUAGGGAAUCCUGACCUGGUACUUUUGAAAUUGAAGACAUGACAAGGAAAGUACUCCCUCAUCAAUGGAACAUCGAACAUUUGAGGAAGUACUAUCAAUAAUGAGUUUGUGUUCUGAUCCGAUCUUAAUGAUGUCUAGUAAACGUGUGUCAUGAUUCGAUCUCAUUUGUAACUUUCCUAUCUUACUAAGUGUUGAAAAUGCCUUAGUGAAGAGUGAUGUAGUUCCUUUUAAAUAAUGAUACUUCAGUCGCUUGUCACAUCGGCUAGUAAAUUGUUACUUCAGUUCGUCAAUAUGUCAAUUGAUCCGAUCUUCUGUUAUUAAUUGGUUAUUGGUAACGAGCGCUUAAGUGGUUAUCACACAUAAGUGUAAACAGCACAAUAAAAAAAUCAAAGCAAUAAUACUUGUACAAAAAUUUUUGUUUUCAUUCAUUUGGGAAUUGAAUUACAAGAGGCUGAAGCCAUUACAGAAAUUGAUCAACCCUACUCUACUGGGGCAUUUGCUGUCCCGACGUCCUCUGCCCUUGUCCCAGGGGCCUCUGGAGCGUCCUCAGCGAGCCUAUCAGGUCGACCUCCGGUAGGCCCACCAAACUCUGCCUCUAGCGAAGAUAUGUCCAAAGUAGGAUGAACCUCUUUCAGCCGACCCAAUAUCCCCUGGGCGCUCCAGGAAGCCUAGAAGUUAGCAACGUAGGCAUACAGGGGGUGCUCUUCAAAGUGGUCAAUAAAGUUCUGUUUAGCCACCUCCCCUACUGACUUCAGCUUCUCCUUCAAAGAGGCGAUUUCUUCAGCAUCGGUAUCCGCCCUCUGCCUCAGCUCUACCUUUUCUUUAUUGGAGGCCUCCAGAGCCCCUAUGGUGAGCCGGUGGUGCUCAUUUGCAUGAUCAACUCUUCGUGUCAUAGCAGCUACCUGGCACUCCACUUCAUAGAGCUCCUUCUUCAACCACUCUAUUUCCUCCUUUGCAACCCCCAGUCGGGCCUCAGCCUCCUUCCUUCCUUUCCCUUCCUCCUCGGCCUUGGCCCGGGCCUCUCUCACUGCAUCUCCAUAGUGCAUCGCCCCCUCAAGGCGCUUGGCGAGGUCCUCCCUCUUAGCGUUGAGGUCUUUUACCAAGCCCUCGAGUUGGAUGCUUGUGCUUAAGGCCCGGGCCAUAUAAGCACUGUUGGCCGCGACCAAAUCCUCGGCAGUGCAGGAGCCGGUGUGGUCUCUCCAUUCCUCGGUCCAAUACUUAUUGUAGACCACCACCACCGCUACUGUCUCUAGAGAAAGAGCCUCCAGCACUUCCUUCACUGGCUCCUCGGAAUUGACGCUCAAGAAGUCCACAUCUUUCGAGGGUCGGGCCCUUUUCCUCUUUUGCUGUCCCGGCGCUUGAGCAAUGGGCACAACCACGAUUGGCGAUGUGGCCGGGGUUGGAGAAGCCUCGGAAGACGUAGGUCUCUUCUCGGGGAUAACCACCUCGGUUGGAAUUGUCGUCUGCCUCAAAGCUGGGGACGGCCUCGCUACAGUUGGGCGCUUUGAGGGGGUGGCAGGCCUCUUCCCUUUCCACAGCAAAUUGGUGUCCGGGUGCUCCGCAACCUUCUCUUGAGUGGGAGGCUGGAGCCUCUUGUUGGCCUCCACCAGAUCCUCCAUCUGCUUUUUGUAUACAGACGAGGAGGUUUUCAAGGCUCUCGCCUUGGCCAUCAUCCUUUGGAUGGUUUUGAAGUCUGGCCUCAGAGGCAGCUUCUUAUUAAAGUUAUCUACAAAGAGACAGGCAAAUUAGUAUAAGUGUAAAUAGUUCGGAAAGUACUGAACGAAUUCGCUUCGGGACAUACCAUCAAAUCGUGCGUCACGAAGUGGACGUUUUUCCUUAUCAGCUGGUGGUAUGACCUCUUCUUCGAAGGCAGCUGAUAAAUAAUGCAGAUGAUGUUGAAGUCAUCGGUGGAAAGCUCGUACCGAGGAAGAGAACCUUCAAAAAACAAACAGAACAGUUAAUAACCGAACCGAAGAAGGAUAAACAAGAUGCACAAAGCCACAUAACUCACUAAGUGUUGAAUAUUUUAUGGGGAUCAUAAGAGGCGCCAAGGGGUCCCCCUCCAUCGUGUCCCAUCUCUCGGCAGCCUAGCACCACGAGCUCUUCCACCCCUUGAUGGAGCUCGACAGAUCAAGCACGAAUGGAGUGUGGGAACCCCAUGAGGUCAAGUAGUACCAGUCCCUAGUCUUAUCCCCCCCCCCAGUCGCUACCUUAGGGAUGUAGAUAGUCUGGAAUACAGAAAAAGGCAUAUCCACCCCAAGCGACGCCUCUUUCCACAACAUCCAGGAGCCCACCAUUUGACUCCAGAAGUUCGGGUUCAAUUGGGUAGGAGCUAAGCCGUAUGACCUAAGUACCAUAAGAAAGAAAGGGUGGAUUGGUAGCCUAAGGCCAGCACUAAGGAUCGUCUCGCUUAUUGCCACGCACCCCGGCCUAGGGUAGCAGGCCUGCUCAUCAGGUUCUGGUAGGAUCAGAUCUACAUCAUCUGGGAUCCUAUAUUCAGCCCUAAGUCUCUCCAGGUCGGCACCCUCUAGCUUAGAGGGGUAAUCUGACGCCCCUUAAUGCACAGAUGUGUCGGUCGGGCUAUCAGGCCUCUUCCAUAGGUUCUCCCCCCAAUAAUUGGCUCAUCUAUCUCAGAGGAGGUCGCCAAAAUGGGCUCAUCCAUCCUCACUAGUUCCAACCCCCUAUCCGAACUACCACUAUCCUCAGAAGCCAUUUUCAGAAAGGAAAACUUUUAAAUACUUACUGAAACUUUCGAAAUGGAAUGUCCCGCAACCAAAAACGGUCAAGAAACAACGUGAGUCACCGAAAACUGGGAAACAAUAUGAGUAGCCGAAAAUUGGGAUUUCUCUCCAGAAGUUGCUUGAAGAACGCCGAAAUGCAAUGAUUUCGAGAGAAAAUGGGGUUUUUGAUUUCGUCAAAGUGAAAAGGUCCAAAAUCCCUCAAUUCUGCCUUUUAUAGAGCGUCCCAGCUGAUCUACACUGUUGAAUUCAAAUGCAAUCAAUCUAGGCCGUCCGUCGCAUCGUCAAUCUAGGCCAUUGAAAUGAAACACCGGAUUUCAUAUAUACCUAAGAUCUAGCUGUAACCUUCACGCUUUUACGAAACGCGUUGCCUCGAUCACCAUCAGCCGUCUGCAAUAAGUAGCCGCAGCAGCCUUUUCUGGGAAUGGGCAUCGUGCCCAACUAUCACCUUGGAAAAACGGGACAACUGUCUAAUCAUUUAAAGUCAGAGAUGCCCGUCUCAGAUCAAGCUCUUCACACAGCUUUACAAAGUUUAGACGCAUCUGAUGUAGAGCCCUCAUGUGGGUCAUCACCUCGGAAGCUGUGUUCUCUCCUAAACUUUACAAAGCUUUAACCAUCUCCCAACACGUUGUCCCCUGUGGGUCAACGCACCGGUGGCAGAUGAGCUCUUUACAUAGCUUUACAAAGCUUAGACGCAUCUGAUGCGGAGCCCCUCUUGUGGAUCAUCGUUUCGGAAUCUGUGUUCCCUCCUAAGCUUUAGCCAUCUCCCCACGCAUCGUUCCCUGUAGGUUAACGCACCGAUGGCAGAUGAGCUCUUCACACAGCUUUACAAAACUUAGACGUAUCUGACUUGGAGCCCCCUGUGGGUCAUCGCCUCAAAAGUUGCGUUUCCUCCUAAGCUUUACAAAGCUUUAGCCAUUUCCCAACGCGUCGUCCCCUAUGGGUCAACGCGCCGGUGGCAGAUGAGCUCUUCACACAGCUUUACAAAGCUUAGACACAUCUGAUGCGGAGCCCCCCUGUGGGUCAUCGCCUCGAAAGCAACGUUACAAAUCUUUAUCCAUCUCCUAACGCAUCGUCCAGUUGGCAGCACAUCGGCCUCGGAUAAGUUCUUCCCUUACACAGUAAUGAGUCUUUAGCGCAUCUGCCUGUGGUCAACGCUUCGAUGAACACAGAAAAUCGACCCAUAAGCCCUCACAAAUCGCGGUCCCCAUCCCAAGGCGGACAUACUCGAUCGGAAAAACAAGUCCACCCGUGAUAUAAAUAUUCAUACCUGAACUUGGACGGACCACUGUUACGCCCCCAUCUGAAACACUUCGAAAAGUCUACCACCGCAUCUUAUGAGGUGUGCAACACCCAUCCGAAGUGGAACUACCAUCUGCUAACCCACUGCAAGACACAGACAAUCUACUGAACUGGUCGAGGCGCCCUCGCCCCUGAAGCCGAAGUUCUCUGCUAGAGGAUCCGCGCCAAUUUCAGAAAGAGAUCUAAGUUAAGAUCCUUUUUGCCCCCAAGAUUCAAUUGAUUUGACGUCUCCAUGAGCCUAGUUGAUAUGGCGUAUCAACUUUAUGUCAACUCAAUUCGGGAGAAAUAAUUAUCCGUCCACUCCAUAGACGCGGCUGAUUGACGCCUAUGAGCAGACGUGUCACACCGUCAGAUGCGUACACAUGUCCCACAUCCAACGGUUCUUCUCAUUUAUAAAUACCCAGGGUUUGAAAGAGGUAAAGGUAAUGAAACUCUUACAACAUAACUUUCCACAACAAGCAAAUACAUAUUCUCCUUCCCUCUACUUUGCACAACCUUAGUAUUGAUCUGACCACCUGAAACUUACUUGACCGUUGGAGUGUAUGUGAUCGCCACCACCCCCGUUGGUUCUAGCCGUGUGCAUCUGACCGUGCAUUGACUGUACGCAAAGAGGAAUACGUGGAAUAGUUAUCGGUUGGUCACGUGAAAGGUCCAAUUUGCGAGGUUAACACCUACAUCUCCAAAAAGAAUAUUCAGAUGCUACCAACCAUAAUUUGAAAGAAUUUUUUUAGUAAAACAAUCCAAGUAUAUUGGGAUUCCACAUGGAGAAUAUGCUUUUAAUAUGAAGAAUUUGGCUCAAACUGAGGUCCUUGGAAAGGGAAUUGAAGAGCAAUUUGUAUUUUGUCACCGAGAAAAUAUCUAUUAAUGCCGUUUUGUCUAUACUCUCUCUAUCUUAAAUGGGAAAUUAAUUUUUUGCACAUGUUUAUUUCUUUUAGUAUGAGACAUUGCAUGUAUUGGCCUUUUACACUUUAGUUAAAAUGUAGACAGAUUGAGUGGUCCAUAUGGAAACGCUAAAGAAUUUUCCAAGAUGACGCUAGGCUGGCCUUGGAGAGCGCUUGACAUCAUUGUUAUAUUUCUCCGUAAAGAAACAAACUUUAAAAGUUAAUUAUGUUGACUGUUCAAAACUCUCUAUGCGAGAAAGACGAUUGGUUAAAGUAAUACGGGUAAAUGCAUCUUGUAUUAGUGAUGAAUUUAUUUGCACUUACAUACAGUGGCGGAUCUAGGAUUUUGAAUCAAUGCGGGUGACUGUUGACCCAAUAAAAUAUUACGAGCUCGUUUGAUGUAAUUUGAUGGAAGAUAUGUGGUUAAAAAUAAGGAAAAGUUUUGAAUUUCAUGUAAUAUUAUUUUAUAGAAAAAUAUAUGGUUGAAAAUAUAAGAGAGAAAAAUAUAUUCUGAAAUAAAUUGGAAUCAAACAAGACCUAAAAUUUAAACAUAACAAUUAUUUUGUUGAAAUUGAACAUAUAUAAUUUUGUUAAAAGAAUAAAUCAUACUCAUCAAAUGACAUUGUUGCCAAGUUUUAUAUAAUUCAAAAGAAGAGCACAUGUUCAAAUCUUUGUUUCAUUAAAACAAGCUAAGAUCUAAUAUAUUAAAUUUGUUAAAUAUAUUAUCACAAUUCGACAAGUGGUAUAAUGGUCAAACUACUAAUAAUUUUACAAUGGCUCCAGGUUCUAAUACCCUCCUCCCCAUUCCAUUAAUUUUAAAUUGUAAAACUAAAAAAAUUGAACAAUAAAAGUUGAUUGAUAAAGGAUCGAACCUGGGACUUGCAAGAUGUAUAAGCCAACACUAACCAACUUGGCCAAAAGGAACGUUUGAAUGCAAAAUGAUUAUCAGAAAUAUAACCUAAAAAAUUCAUCUAUUUUCAACCAAAAAUAAUGGCUACCGGCAGAUUGAGCACGUGCGGCCCCAGGUGCUUGCGAAGUGCUGGAUCCUCUAGUGCUUGCAUAUAUAGUAUUGUACUUGGGAACAUUCAAUUUAAUAAUUUUGAAGAAUUGAAUAUUCCAAUAAUAAUAAUAUAAAGAUUGUUAACUUUCAAAGUGUUUAGAAAUUGAUUAUAUUCGCUUGUUGAAUUGAUAAAAAAAAAAAUAGGAAUAAUGUUAUUUAUCAUUAUCAUGAUAGAACAUUGGUGAUGUGACAGUUUACGUGAAAUAAUGAGAUUUGACAGAUCAAUUUUAUGAUAGAAGGGAGGAGAUAUGGUCUCAAAACAGAAAGAAAUGUGAGGAAUAAUGAGUUGUCACAUCACUGAUGUUCCAUUGUCAUGAUGAUAAAUGGCAUCACUUCAAAAAUAGCAAGAACUCCAACCCGAUUUCAAGAUUAUCGAGGAAACUUAUUCACCAUUCUUUUGAGUGCUUCAUGUUUGGCUAAGCCUCGUAAGUUUAUUUAUAAGUAAAUAAUAAUUCUCCAUUUUAUUAAUGAAUAUUUGACAUAUAUAAAUUCAAUGUUUUCAAAACUCGACUAGCUCAACUUGAAAAUUUGGUUACCAGACUGAAGUCCGAUUCAAUUCUAGUGCAAAAACUGAAGGUUAAGAAAUCGGUGUAAAAGCCAGAAACCGUUUGGUUCAACAUAAAAACCAAUGAGCUAAACUCUAUUUUUAAUGGUUCACUGAUAUUUCGUACCCCAAAAAAUAAAAAUAAAAAUAAAUUUAAAAUGAAGAAAAGGAAGAAGUUUCCUUCAUUACUGCUUCUGAACUAGAGCUCCAAUAUCCAUUGUGAAAUCUUUCAAAUCCAAAACAAUCUUAUACAAAUACAUAUAUUUUACGUUUUUAUAUACAAAUCAAAAAUAAUAUUUAUGUUGUUACAUAUAAAUACAUAUAUUUGUAGGAGAAGAGAAGACUGAGAAAGAAGAUGGAAAGAUGGCGGAAUAUGAUGUUGAACUUUUGCCUCUGUAGAGAGUGUGUGUGUGUGUGUGUGUGUAUAUAUAAGAUUUAUAGAAAAUUAAAGAGAGUAUUGAGUAGGAUUAAAGUUAUUAAAAGUUUAAAGUUUAAAUAGCCAUUUAAAACAGUAUACCCCCCCAAUUGGUAUCAGAGCCAAAAAAGAAAGUAGUGAUUGGGAUAGAAAAGGCUUAUAAUAUUAGAACUUACAGGUAUUAGAAAUAAUAGAUUGUCUUACCAAGUAAAAUAUAGUAUAGAUAUUUGUGGUUAUUUUGAGGAAGAUAAUAUAGUUGGAGCCUGGAGUAAAGAUUUAAUUGAAAUCUUAGAAAUAUUUAAAGUUCUUAAAUAUUUACCUUUUGAAUUAAGAGAAAAUAUAGUAAAAAGAGUCUUAGUAGAAGAAUACAGACAUAUUUUUAUAACAGAACAUAUUUAUUACGAUUUAGAACUCUGGAUAUCAAUAGAAAGCUUGAAUUCUUAGAUUUAGAAAUUUUAAGAAAUACUAGUAAAAAAGUACAAACAGUUGAUAAUAAUAUAAUUAAGUGUAAUUUAGAUAAUAAGCAUAAAUUACAUAGUUUAUUUUCAGAAGAUCCAAGUCAGAAUUGUAUUGUAGACUUGAUCAUAAAUUUAUCAAGAAAUUUAGAACUUGAAAAUAAAAAGCAAAAUAGUUAUCUAGAAAUUAUAAAAGAAAACAUUACAGUUAGAGACCAAGAGAUUAAAAAUAUAAAAGAAUCUUUAGAUUAUAUUAAAAAUCAAAAUUCAAGAAUUUUAGAAAAACUUGUUAAACUAGAAAAAAUACCAUCUAAGGUAGAUUUAACAGAAAUAAAAAGAAUUUUAGAUUCAAAUAAAUCUAAAGAGAUAGAUAGAGGAACUACAUCAAGUGUAGAAAAAGACCUAAAAUCAUUAACAAAUACUCUAGAAAAACUAAGUUUUAAAGAAAUAGAAAAAGAAAAGGUAACUAGGAAAUUACUUAAAGAAUACAAAUUUCCAAGAUGAAUACAAAUCCUUUUCUAGGAAGAUCUAGAACUAUAAAUGAAGAAGCAUCUACAUCUAGAAAUAGUACUUCAAGUAUAAGCAGAAAUAUAAUAGAAAGAGUUUUAAACAGACCAGUUCAAUAUAAUCAAAAUAUAGAAGAAAUCAUAGAUCCUCAACAAGAUUAUCAAAGAUUUCAGGCUAAUGGAUUAAGAAUUCUCAACCCAGAAAUACUAUAUAAUAGAGGAAUUUUUGAAACAAGAACACAAUUUUUUAGACAUAGUAGAGAAGUAUAUGUUCAGUGUAUAGGAAAUCAGGUAAGAAAAUUAAAUUUAAUAUCAGAAGACUCUAAGAGAGAAUUAAAAAAGAAAAACUUUAGAUUUAUGCAUUUAGGAUUAAUAGUUAUAGGUAUAAAAGGACUAAUGAGAAAAAAUUUAGGAUGUAAAGUGUUAGUUACUAUAUAUGAUGAAAGAAUUAAUAAUAUAGAUAAAAGUAUGAUUGCUAGUACAGAAGUAGAUAUGAACAAUAAUAAUGGUAUAAUUUAUUGCAAUCCAGAUUUCUUAUUAACUAUUAAAGAUUUUUCAGAUAAAAUUAAAAUAGGAAUACAAACAAAAGGAUAUGAAGAAGUAGAAAGUGGAGAUAUUUAUUAAUUAGCAUAGGAUUUUUAGGAAGAUGUUCGAAUAAUUCCCAAACAAAAUAUAAGAUAUAUAUAGACAAAGUAGUAAAUUUAAUGAGUAGUAAAUGAAUUAAUAUGGUUAAGUCUAAAGAAUAUUCAUCAGAACAAUUGGCAGGAUUAGAAUGGGAUAUGGAUAAAUUUUUAGAAAAUCAAGAAACAAUUAUAGCACCACAGGAAGCAUUAACUUAUAAAGAUAUUCAUGGAAGAACUAGUCUAAAAUUUUUAGAUUAUAAUCAAGUACAAAGACAGAAUGAUUUUGAAAAAGAAACCAAUCCUGAUGAAGAACAAAAUGAACCAUUUCAAAAUCAAGUUCAUAUAGAAUCAAUAGAUGAGGAAUUUGAUAGAAUAAUUUAUCCAAAAGAAUUAGGAAUGAAUUUAGAUAAUAAAGAACUAUCAGAAUUAGAUGACCAAAUGUAUCUUAAUAAGAUAAUUACAGAAUCUAAAUAUUUAUAUUAUGACCAAGAACAGAGUAUAAGAAUAGGAACCAUUAAAGAAGAUAAUGAUUCAGAUAAUUCAGAUUUUAGUUAUAUAAAAGAACUUAUGGAAGACUCAAAUACAUAUAGAACUUUUAGUGAUACUCCUUUUGAUAGAACAGUUAAACAUGAAACAAUGGUUUAUAGUGGAGGAUUUCCUCCAAGAGGAGCUUAUCCUUUAUAUAAUAAUACAGAAAGAAAAUAUAUAGCAAGAGGAAGUGAAAGACCCUUAGAAAAGAAAAUAGAAUUUCAAUCAGAUCAUAAAACACAAAUUUUAAAUAUUACAGCACAUGAUCCACAGACAUGGAAUAAUGUAAUAGAUGUAUGGAAGAACACUAUAAUAGGACAUUAUAUUAGAAACUUUCAAGAAAUGAAAUCUUUAGAUAUGUAUAGAUAUUUUGAAACAUUUUUAGGAGAAAGCGUAAAAGCAAUGUGGGAAGCAUUCAAAUUAGAAAAGAAACAAGAAUUUGAACAACUAGUUAGUAUGGAAAGUAAUCCUUAUAAUUUUGUUAAUAAAAUACAAAUCUUAAUAACAGGAGCAGAUCCAAAUUCAGGACAUAUGAGUAUACAAAGAAAAGCUAUGAGAGAUUUAGAACAACUUAGCUUUUAUAAAUGGACUAAAGAAAGAUAUGUUAAGAACUUUUUAAAUGAGUAUCAUUACUUAACUUCAAUAUCAGGAAAUACAUUUAAUCAAGAAAUAGGAAAUAAAUUAUUUCAUAAAUUAUCAGGACCAUUAGGAUUAGAAAUCACAGAUAAAUGGAAUAAUUUACCAGCAGUAAAAGAAGAACCAGAAAAACAAUGGAGUAUAGGACAAAGAAUACAACAUGUAAUAAGAUGUUUAGAAGAUAAAUGUGUAGAAUUACAAAUUCAAAAACAACUUAAAAAGACAUACUAUAAAUUUUGUAAAGACAUUUUCACCCCCACAAACUUAUGAAGCCUCUAGUUCAAGAAAAAAUAAGUAUAGUAAUAAAGAAAGAAAAAAUAAAAGAUCUUUUAAGAAAAGAUAUUUUCUUAGAAAAUCUAAUUAAAGAAAACCAUACUUAGAUGAAAAACGACGUGUUAGAAAAUUUAAACCAGAAAGAACUUAUAAAAAUAGACUUAGUUGUUACGUCUGUAAUAGUAAUGAACAUUUAUCCAAGACUUGUCCAAAAAGAAUAAAUAAUUACGAUAAAAAGAGUACAUUAAUAGAAUGCACUAAUGAAGAUUUAAUACAACUAGAUGAAUAUAUUUCAGAUAAAGAAUCUAUUUAUAGUAUUAUAUCAAUAGAAGACAGAGAUUUAGAAGAAAAUAAAGAAUCUGAUUAUGAAACAAUAGAUGAAUUCUCUAAUAUAAAAUUACAAGAAGAAUCAGAAUCAGAAGAAGAACUAAACUUAAUGAAUAGUAUAACUAUAGAAUGUCUACAUAAUUGGCAAAAAUAUAAAGGAGCAGAUAAUAUAGUUUGUUAUUUAUGUAAUUGGUACCCAGUUAGAAAAUUUAGAGCUAAAUGUUUAGAAUGUUAUAAAGAAGCAUGUAUAAAAUGUUUAGAAGAAAAAAAUCUUAUUGAAAAAGAAGAAGUUAAUUCAGAAAUCCUAAAAGAAAAAAUUGAAAUAUUAGAAAUAAAAAUUCUUAGGAAAAGAAUUGAAAGCCUAGAAGAAAUGCAAAAAUUUAUAAUAAAUAAGAUAGAAAUAUUAUAAUAUAACAAUAAAGGAAAAACAAUAGAAAUAGAAGAACAUAGUCAAGGUACAGAAUAUAAAGAAAAAGAAUAUGUUCAAGUAAUAUGUAACCCAGAAAAACUUAAAAGCAUUAAGGUAAAAUGUUAGAUAAAAAUAUGACAAUAUGAAAUAAAAUGUUUAGAAUUAAUAGACUCAGGAUGUAGUAAUUGUAUAAUUAAUAAAAAAUUAAUUCCAAAACAAUAUACAAUAUACUCAGACAAACCAAUAGAAGCACAACAAAUGGAUGGAGAACUCUAUACUUACACUGAAUUAUUACAAUCAAAUAGUAAGAUCAGUUUUGAGACAAACUGUGGUAGAAGUAUAGAAUAUACCUUACCAAAAGAAUCAGUUUGGGUUAAACCUUUAAAUAUUAAAGAUACAGAUUUUAUUAUAGGAUUAAGUUUUUUAUUAAAAGAUAAUGGAAGUGUUACAAUUACUAAAGACUUUUUACAUUUACAAAAACAUACCUUAUUUACACCAACACAGACUACCUAUUUCCCAUCAGAGUGCAUAGAGAAGCGUUGUGGAAAUAGAAAUAACUGUAAGUGUGAAAAAGAAAGAGAAUGUCAAUUAAUAGAAGAAGACAAUCUAAAAGAAAUAGAUUUUGAAAUUCUAAAAAAGGAUGAAUUGGAUAAUUUAGAAAACAUAGACUUUGGAACUAUAGAAUUAAUUGAUAAUGAAAAGAUUUAUAAUAUGUUAAUAACAGAACAAGAAAUAGAAAAUUUAAUAUCUAGAUUAGAAAAAAUAGAAAUUAUAGGAGAAAAUGUUUUAAAAUAUUGGGAAAAAGAUAAAAUCCUAUGUGAACUUAAAAGCAAAAAUUCAGAAUAUAUAAUUAAAACUAAAAAUAUUGAAGCUACAAACUUAGAUCUAGAAGAUUUUAAAAUACAUAUAAAAGAACUCUUAGAAUUAGGAGUUAUUAGAAAAUCAGAUAGUCCUCAUAGAUCAGCAGCUUUUAUAGUCAGAAAACAUUCAUAAAUUAUUAGAGGAAAGAGUAGAAUGGUAAUUAAUUAUAAAAGACUUAACGAUAAUACCAUAGAUGAUACUUAUAAUAUACCAGACAAGACAGUGUUAAUAAAUAAAAUACAAGAUUGUAAAAUUUUUAGUAAGUUUGAUUUAAAGUCAGGAUUUUGGCAAGUAAAAAUGCAUCCAGAAAGUAUUAAAUGGACAGCAUUUACCUGUCCAGAAGGACAUUUUGAAUGGCUUGUAAUGUCAUUUGGAAUUAAGAAUGCACCUAGUAUUUUUCAAAGAAAGAUGGAAAGUAUUUUUAAUAAACAUAGUAAAUUCGUAAUAGUAUACAUAGAUGAUAUUUUAGUAUUUAGUAAAAAUAAACAAGAAUAUAGAGGACAUUUACAAAUAGUAUUUUCAGAAUUUAUUAAACAUGGCUUAAUAAUUAGUAAAAAGAAAAUAAUUUUAUUCAAAGAAUUUAUAGAUUUCUUAGGAGUUAACAUAGGAGAAUGUAAAAUAAAGCUACAACCUCAUAUUGCUAAGAAAGCUUUAGAAUUUUCAGAUAAAUUAGAAGAUUUAAAACAAAUCCAAAAAUUUUUAGGAUUAGUAAAUUAUGCUAGACCAUUUAUAAAAGAUUUAGGAAAAAUAGCAGGACCUUUAUAUGCAAAAACAUCUCCUACAGGACAAAGAUUCUUUAACCAAGAAGAUAUAAAAUUAGUCCAACAAAUAAAAGAAAAAAUAAAAAAAUUGCCAGAAUUAGCUACGCCAUUAGAUUCAGAAUAUUUAAUUAUAGAGACAGAUGGAAGUAUGAUAGGAUGGGGAGCUAUAUUAAUAUGUAAACCCAAUAAAUAUACUGAUAAAAGUACAGAAAGAAUUUGUAGGUAUAACAGUGGAAACUAUAAAGAGAAAGGAAAUUUAAGUAGCAUAGAUGCAGAAUUAUUAGCUAUAAAUUAUGCAUUAGAUAGUUUUGAGUUAUUUAUUAUAUCUAAGAAAGAAAUAACUAUAAGAACAGACUGUGUAGCUAUAGUCUCAUUUGUUAAUAAAAUGAAAAUAGACUCAAAAAGAAGUAGUAGAAGAAGAUGGUUAAAUUUUAUUGAUAGAAUUACAAAUAUAGGAUUUAAUAUAGAAUUUGAGCAUAUUAAAGGUAGUGAUAAUAAAGCGACAGAUAUACUGAGUAGAAUAAUAAUAGAUAAAAAUUAUUAAACUUGUUUAACAUAAUUUUGUUAUAUAGAUGACAAGACCAAGGCUCUUAAGACCAGGAAUUCCACCAGGAAAUUCAUUUGCAUCAAGUUCCUUACCUCAGACUCCAUUUAAUCAGAACAGACCAAUGUUACAAGACAGGAUAAGGUUUGGAAACCAAGAACUUAUAGUUUUCCCAAAUAGUAAUAUUUCCUUUAAAAUUUUACCGCAUAUAUCUUUAUCUAGAGAAGAGAAAUGUAUUUUAGACAAUUUAUGGAUUUCUUAUAAUAAGAAUCCAAAAGAUCAGAAAUAUUUUCUUACAUGCAUGAAUGCAUUAUCAGAACAUUUUAGUCAGAACAAGCAAAGAUUUAAAUUUUAUAUUGUUGUUAAAGGUAAAAAUUCAGGAAUUUUUCAUUCUUGGAUAGAAGUUUUAGAUUGAAUUAAAAAUUUUCCAGAUCCUCUUUACAAAGGUUUUACAAAUUUUCAAGAAGUAUUAAAUGCAGCAAGACAACAUAUAGGAAUAAAUUUUUAUUUAUCUCCUUCCUUAAAGAACUAUUCUGAUCCUCCAUUAGACUUUUCUCCAAGCAAAGACCAGAAUAUUUUUUGCCAACAUUGUGAGUGUAUGCAGAGAAAUUACAAAGUUAUUAAUGAAGCCAACCAGAACCUCUCAUUAGAAAGAACCCAACUUCAAAAGAAAAUAGCCCAACUUGAAAAAGAGAUUUUGGAUCUAAAAGUUCAAUAUCAAAUAGGUACUAUGGAGCCCAAGAAGUCCAUAACUAGUCCGCCCAAACGGUAGCUGGUAAAGACUUAUCAAACCCGUUAAAGGUUGUGGACUUACCAAAAGCCCAACAGACUCAGGGGACUGUUGAUUCCUCUACUAAAAUAGAUAAUCAGACUCAGCAGACUGAUAAAUCUGCUACAGAAAAAGGUAAAGAGAUUUGGGAUCUUUUAGGACAGCCCAGCGGAAAAUUUGAUUAUUUAGUAAAGUAUAGUCCACCAGAACAUUUUUCAUCAGAACACUUUUCAAAUAAUCCAGACUUCUCACAAGCUCAAGAAAAUCAGCCCAGUAAGGGAAAAGAAAAAAUUGUGACCCAAGAUAGUCAAGACCCUCUAUUUAUUCAAGAAGCACAAGAUCCUAAUCAAGAUAUUGUCUCCUUAGAAAAGAUUUUUGAAAAAAUUGAAGAAUUUCAGAAACAAUCCAAAAAAGAUGAAGGAACUUCUUCCAGAAAAAAGAAAAAGAUUAAGAAGAAGAAAAAUGAUGAAGGACUGAAAGAACAAAUCAGAGAGGCAGUGAACCAAGCAUUUGAGACAAUUUUAAAAAAGAGCCAUGAAGAAGAAAAAGAAAUUGCAGAAUGUCCAGAACAAAAAGAAAAAGAUGAAGCCAGUUAUUCCAGACUUUCAGAUGAAGAAGAAGAUCCACAAGAAGAAGGAUACAAUAAUUCAGAUAGUGGAAUGUCAUUUUCAUCAGUGGCACGCCAUAAUCUCCGUACAUGAUCAAAUCUUCAAUAAUUCAGAAAAGACAAAUUUUGCCAGAAGAAAAGAAGAAAAAGGAAGAAGACCCAAAAAUCAAGAUUGAAGACUUUUGGGGAAAGAUGUAAUGAAUCCUUUGAAAAAAGAAAAGAUUCUCCGAGAAAGGAAAAAAAUUUCAAAAGUAGGAAAGAUUUUUAAGACUUCUAGAAAAAGUUGGUGAAGCUUGUAAUAUCUUAAUCAAUAUGAUUGUAUAAUUAGAUCAAUACUUUAUCCUAAUUACUAAUGUACUGUUGUUAGGUAAAUGGAAUGCAUAUGUGGC
rnacentral:lncRNA from 1 species